CCUACGGGAGGCAGCAGUGAGGAAUCUUGGUCAAUGGGCGCGCGCCUGAACCAGCCAAGUAGCGUGAAGGAUGACUGCCCUACGGGUUGUACACUUCUUUUAUAACGGAAUAAAGUGAGGCACGUGAGCCUUUUUGUAUGUAAUUUAUGAAUAAGGCUCGGCUAACUCAGUGCCAGCAGCCGCGGUAAUACGGAGGAACCGAGCGUUAUCCGGAUUUAUUGGGUUUAAAGGGAGCGUAGAUGGGUUGUUAAGUCAGUUGUGAAAGUUUGCGGGUCAACCGUAAAAUUGCAAUUGAUACUGGCAGCCUUGAGUACAGUUGAGGUAGGCGGAAUUCGUGGUGUAGCGGUGAAAUGCUUAGAUAUCACGAAGAACUCCGAUUGCGAAGGCAGCUUACUAAACUGCCACUGACAUUGAUGCUCGAAAGUGUGGGUAUCAAACAGGAUUAGAUACCCCAGUAGUC
rnacentral:rRNA from 1 species